GUCGGUGAACCUGCGGAAGGAUCAUUAACACGUAUCCAACGUUAAACCCCUGUGAACCUGAAGACGCCGCUCCUAGGGCUCGUGCGAAAACUUGCAAUUCCCUGUACUCGUCCGAGAUGUAAGGAGGGACUUCUGGCAGUGCACGCUAGUCAGAGCGCUUGGAGUUAGUGUGGCUUGUUUUUCCCCAAGCAGCCAGUGAGUGAAAGUGUCUGAUUGUGUAAGGAUUUCACCUACAGCGAUCACGGUAGGUCGAUCACCGACCGGUGAAUAAGCAACAGAAGCUUUAAUGCUUCCCUCUUCCUAUUGCCGCCCGCUAACAAUGCCGGGUAUUUAAAAACGUACUAAACAACUGUUAACAAUGGAUAUCUUGGUUCUC
rnacentral:misc_RNA from 1 species